GCAGUCGAGCGGACCGACGGGAGCUUGCUCCCUUAGGUCAGCGGCGGACGGGUGAGUAACACGUGGGUAACCUGCCUGUAAGACUGGGAUAACUCCGGGAAACCGGGGCUAAUACCGGAUGCUUGAUUGAACCGCAUGGUUCAAUCAUAAAAGGCGGCUUCGGCUGCCGUUUACAGAUGGACCCGCGGCGCAUUAGCUAGUUGGUGAGGUAACGGCUCACCAAGGCGACGAUGCGUAGCCGACCUGAGAGGGUGAUCGGCCACACUGGGACUGAGACACGGCCCAGACUCCUACGGGAGGCAGCAGUAGGGAAUCUUCCGCAAUGGACGAAAGUCUGACGGAGCAACGCCGCGUGAGUGAUGAAGGUUUUCGGAUCGUAAAGCUCUGUUGUUAGGGAAGAACAAGUACCGUUCGAAUAGGGCGGUACCUUGACGGUACCUAACCAGAAAGCCACGGCUAACUACGUGCCAGCAGCCGCGGUAAUACGUAGGUGGCAAGCGUUGUCCGGAAUUAUUGGGCGUAAAGCGCGCGCAGGCGGUUUCUUAAGUCUGAUGUGAAAGCCCCCGGCUC
rnacentral:rRNA from 1 species